rnacentral:rRNA from 1 species
AUCGUUUUGAGCUAACCCUAGCCCAAACACCACUAAAAUAUACUACUUAACCUCAUUAAUCAAAUCAUUUACCUACUACAAAAGUAUAGGAGAUAGAAAUUAUAUUUUAGGCGCAAUAGACACAGUACCGCAAGGGAAAGAACAAGACCAAUAAAGCAUAAAAAAGCAAAGAUAUAUCCUUGUACCUUCUGCAUAAUGAGCCAACUAGAAAUAGCUCUAUAAAGAGAACUUAAACAAUGCCCCCCGAAACCAAGCGAGCUACCCAAAGAUAGCUAAAAGAGCGCACCCGUCUAUGUGGCAAAAUAGUGGGAAGAUCUCUGGGUAGUGGCGACAAACCUACCGAGCCUGGUGAUAGCUGGUUGUCCAAGACAGAAUCUUAGUUCAACUUUAAGUUUACCUACAGAAUCACAUAAUCCCCCUGUAAAUUUAACUGUUAGUCUAAAGAGGGACAGCUCUUAAGACCCUAGGAAACAACCUUUUGUAGAGAGUAAACAAUUUAACCACCAUAGUUGGCCUAAAAGCAGCCACCAAUUAAGAAAGCGUUAAAGCUCAAUAUUUAUUUACUCUUAAUCCUAAUAAUCUCAUUGAACUCCUAAUACAAAUUGGACUAAUCUAUUAUCAAAUAGAAGCAAUAAUGUUGAUAUAAGUAACAUGAAAUUAUUCUCCUUGCAUAAGCUUAUCUCAGACCGAAACAACUACUGUUAGUUAACAGCCCAAUUACCAUACACUACAAAUUAAUUUACCAAUUAACCGAACUGUUAACCCAACACAGGCAUGCACUAAGGAAAGAUUAAAAAAAGUAAAAGGAACUCGGCAAACUCUACCCCCGCCUGUUUACCAAAAACAUCACCUCUAGCAUCCCUAGUAUUAGAGGCACUGCCUGCCCAGUGACACAUGUUCAACGGCCGCGGUACCCUGACCGUGCAAAGGUAGCAUAAUCACUUGUUCUCUAAAUAAGGACUUGUAUGAAUGGCCACACGAGGGUUUAACUGUCUCUUACUUUUAAUCAGUGAAAUUGACCUAUCCGUGAAGAGGCGGAUAUGCCUAAAUAAGACGAGAAGACCCUAUGGAGCUUCAAUUUAAUGGUACAAGCCUCAGCCCUUCAAACCAACAGGCAAUAACCUGUAAUAAAUGUACCAUAAAUUUUGGUUGGGGUGACCUCGGAGUACAACAUAACCCCCGAAAAACACAUACUAAGACCUCACCAGUCUAAGUAAAAAUAAAUCUAUUGACCCAAUAACUUGAUCAACGGACUAAGUUACCCUAGGGAUAACAGCGCAAUCCUAUUCUAGAGUCCAUAUCGACAAUAGGGUUUACGACCUCGAUGUUGGAUCAAGACAUCCUAAUGGUGCAGACGCUAUUAAGGGUUCGUUUGUUCAACGAUUAAAGUCUUACGUGAUCUGAGUUCAGACCGGAGUAAUCCAGGUCGGUUUCUAUCUAUUAAACAUUCCUCCCAGUACGAAAGGACAAGAGAAAUAGGGCCUACUUCAUAAAGCGCCCUCAAAAAUUAGAUGACCCAUAUCUCAAUCUCACAAAUUACAACAUAGCCCAAGAACA